UGGGGAAUCUUGGACAAUGGGGGCAACCCUGAUCCAGCCAUGCCGCGUGAGUGAUGAAGGCCUUAGGGUCGUAAAGCUCUUUCGCCUGUGAAGAUAAUGACGGUAGCAGGUAAAGAAACCCCGGCUAACUCCGUGCCAGCAGCCGCGGUAAUACGGAGGGGGUUAGCGUUGUUCGGAAUUACUGGGCGUAAAGCGCACGUAGGCGGACCAGAAAGUUGGGGGUGAAAUCCCGGGGGCUCAACCCCGGAACUGCCUCCAAAACUAUUGGUCUAGAGUUCGAGAGAGGUGAGUGGAAUUCCAAGUGUAGAGGUGAAAUUCGUAGAUAUUUGGAGGAACACCAGUGGCGAAGGCGGCUCACUGGCUCGAUACUGACGCUGAGGUGCGAAAGUGUGGGGAGCAAACAGGAUUAGAUACCCUGGUAGUCCACGCCGUAAAACGAUGAGUGCCAGUCGUCGGGUAGCAUGCUAUUCGGUGACACACCUAACGGAUUAAGCAUUCCGCCUGGGGAGUACGGUCGCAAGAUUAAAAC
rnacentral:rRNA from 1 species